AUGGUGAGCUCGCUAGGGUUGUCUCCUACCUCCGCUGCCUGGAUUAGUCACUUGCGGAAGCGGCGGAGCUCAUCGGCGAUUCUCGUGCGCGAUCAGGGCCGAUCGGAACGGCCAAAAAUUGAGUUCCUUAUGCAGGUGAUUAAGAGGACCACCGUGCUGGAAGAGGUGAACGGCAGCGAUAUUCUGAUGCAGCCGCGAUACUACCCAGUGUCGCGCCUAUGGUUGAGCUGGGUGCGAAUGGCCAGAUCUGUACCCGCUGAAGGGGCGGCGGGUGGAGGCCGAGAAGGAGUGAGGAUAGCUACUGCUGUGUCGGGAAGGACGCCAUGUCCUAACCAGACUACUGCUCUGGAGAAGGCUAUCCCUGACAGGGGGAGGCGGGGGUUGAGAACACUCAGUCGUGCCGUUGAGAAUGCCCUGCUCUCAUCAGAAAGAGCCAUAAGGAACUUGUGUGGGAAAAUUAGCCGUGAUCAGGCCGAGGAUGAUUUAAGGAAGACUAUGGAAGUGUUUGCGGAGCUUGGUUCAAAGGAUCAGCACUUCACAUAUAGCGCGGAAGCUGACAAAGAGGGGAGGAUCAGCAGUCUGAUGUGGGCAAAUGGAAUAGCCAAUUGCAGUACACAUUCUUUGGGGAGACCUGUAAUGAGAACUAACUUGGCCAUAGAGAGACAUGCUGGGAAGAUAUAUACAAGAGCAAUGUUCGAGCAAUUUGGACAUAUUCUACAUGAGUGCGAUGCUUACGAGGUUGAGGAGAUCAAGAAAGGGAAGCUGUACGCUAUCAUGCACACUGAAGCAGAAAGGAGAGAGAAAUGGUGUGGGGUCUCAUAUAAAGUGUGCUCAGUGGAGGAGAGGAGUGUACUGGACUUCAUCCGCAUUAAGGAAAUUCCGCAGAAGCACAUAGUGAAGAGAGGCCCACGUCAUCUUACGCACUACCAGAAAGAUCAUGCCCACAGAAAUCCUUUUAGCUAUGGACAUUUCAAUAUGACUUUUGCCACCGACAAAGAGGAAGGAGAUGGGCAGGCCUGCGACCAGCAGGAAACAAAAAGACUACGUACCCAAACCGCGGAGAUGUGCCAUAGCAGGCUAGAAGACCGCCCGAUGCAAGAACUGUGGAGUCGAAGGCCACCGGUAGAACAAUUGCAACAAAGCAGCGGAGCUAUGUCUGAAAGAGAGUUGACUGAAAAAGUAGGGAUGUACCUGGGACAAUACCUGCAUGGUUAG
rnacentral:rRNA from 1 species